rnacentral:rRNA from 1 species
UACGUAGGGGGCAAGCGUUGUCCGGAUUUAUUGGGCGUAAAGAGCGUGUAGGCGGCCUGAAAGGUCAGCUGUGAAAACUCGAGGCUCAACCUCGAGACGUCGGUUGAAACCAUCUGGCUAGAGUCCGGAAGAGGAGUGUGGAAUUCCCGGUGUAGCGGUGAAAUGCGCAGAUAUCAGGAGGAACACCGGUGGCGAAGGCGGGUCUCUGGGAAACAACUGACGCUGAGGAACGAAAGCGUGGGUAGCAAACAGG